ACCUCGGAUCAGGUAGGAAUACCCGCUGAACUUAAGCAUAUCAAUAAGCGGAGGAAAAGAAACCAACAGGGAUUGCCCUAGUAACGGCGAGUGAAGCGGCAACAGCUCAAAUUUGAAAUCUGGCCUUCGGGUCCGAGUUGUAAUUUGUAGAGGAUGCUUUUGGUGAGGUACCUUCCGAGUUCCCUGGAACGGGACGCCAUAGAGGGUGAGAGCCCCGUCUGGUUGGAUACCGAUCCUCUGUAAAGCUCCUUCGACGAGUCGAGUAGUUUGGGAAUGCUGCUCUAAAUGGGAGGUAUAUGUCUUCUAAAGCUAAAUAUUGGCCAGAGACCGAUAGCGCACAAGUAGAGUGAUCGAAAGAUGAAAAGCACUUUGAAAAGAGAGUUAAAAAGUACGUGAAAUUGUUGAAAGGGAAGCGCUCAUGACCAGACUUGGGCUUGGUUGAUCAUCCAGGGUUCUCCCUGGUGCACUCUUCCAGCCCAGGCCAGCAUCAGUUCGCUGUGGGGGAUAAAGGCUUCGGGAAUGUGGCUCCUCCGGGAGUGUUAUAGCCCGCUGCGUAAUACCCUGUGGUGGACUGAG
rnacentral:rRNA from 2 species